rnacentral:rRNA from 1 species
AUUAUAUGGAGAGUUUGAUCCUGGCUCAGAGUGAACGCUGGCGGCGUGCCUAAUACAUGC